rnacentral:rRNA from 1 species
CUACGUGCCAGCAGCCGCGGUAAUACGUAGGGCGCGAGCGUUGUCCGGAAUUAUUGGGCGUAAAGAGCUUGUAGGCGGUUUGUCGCGUCUGCUGUGAAAGGCCGGGGCUUAACUCCGUGUAUUGCAGUGGGUACGGGCAGACUAGAGUGCAGUAGGGGAGACUGGAAUUCCUGGUGUAGCGGUGGAAUGCGCAGAUAUCAGGAGGAACACCGAUGGCGAAGGCAGGUCUCUGGGCUGUAACUGACGCUGAGAAGCGAAAGCAUGGGGAGCGAACAGGAUUAGAUACCCUGGUAGUCCAUGCCGUAAACGUUGGGCACUAGGUGUGGGGGACAUUCCACGUUUUCCGCGCCGUAGCUAACGCAUUAAGUGCCCCGCCUGGGGAGUACGGCCGCAAGGCUAAAACUCAAAGAAAUUGACGGGGGCCCGCACAAGCGGCGGAGCAUGCGGAUUAAUUCGAUGCAACGCGAAGAACCUUACCAAGGCU